GGCGCCCGCCGCCACCAUCUCUUGGGCCGCCGUGGGAGAAUCCCUUUAACCUGGGAGAGAACUUUCACUUUGCUACGUUGAACCUGUUGACGGAGCCCAGGCAGCAGAAUCGCUACUAACCUGGGAAGAUGACCGGCACUCCUCCUGUGUUUUGCUUAUGUAGUGUGAAGUGAUAUUUUCCCAUUACGAUGUUGGGAACAUCUCCAAUACUGUCAUCAUUAACUUGGCUAGUAGACAGCCUCUCCUGAGGCAGAGCCUGUGUUUUCAGUCUGGCCUCAGUAUCUGGUCCUGCUACAGUACGCACUCCCCCUCCUGUGCAUAUAAAGGUCCCAGACUCAGUCAGUACAUGGGAAGAUGGCCGGACUUCAAGGAGACAACCGGACUUUGAGGAAGAGAUGGCUGGACUACAGAAGAGACGGCCUGACUUCGGGGGAAGAUGACUGGCCCUUCCUGUUUCCUCUCCAGCUCCCCUUUCUGCUGAGAGCUGUUUUCAUUGCUUAA